AAUUAUUUGGAUUUAGUGAAGUUUUUGGAUGAUAAAUUUAUGAAUGAUUUUAAGAUAGGGAGUUUUAAAGGAAUUAUUUUGUUGAUUUUUGUUUAGAUUGUAGAAUUUUAAGGAUAUGAAGUGGUUAAUAGUUUAAGUUAUUUAUUUUGGGGUGAAUAUGUUAUGUAAUAAGAGAUAUUUAAUGUAUUUUAUUAUUUAUUGUGUUAUUG
rnacentral:misc_RNA from 1 species